UACGUAGGAUGCAAGCGUUGUCCGGAAUUAUUGGGCGUAAAGAGUUCGUAGGCGGUGAUCUAAGUCUGGUGUUAAAGCCCGGAGCUCAACUCCGGCAUGGCAUUGGAAACUGGAUUGCUAGAGUGUGGUAGAGGUAACUGGAAUUCCAGGUGUAGCGGUGAAAUGCGUAGAUAUCUGGAGGAACACCAGUGGCGAAAGCGAGUUACUGGCCCACAACUGACGCUGAGGAACGAAAGCCAGGGUAGCAAAAGGG
rnacentral:rRNA from 1 species